ensembl:lncRNA
GUUCAACUCAAGCUUGAGCAGUUCCCUGCCCCAUGGAACUCGAGAAGCUUCUCAAGGUAUCUGCUGAUUGCUACUGGAGUGGAAUUGCUUGCUCAUCAUGGGCUAUGUGUCCCCAGAUGCUGCCUCUGUCCUGUCCCACAUUAACUCUUCCGUGAAGUCCAGCCCCAGUUUCCAUUCCUGAAACAAAAAUCACUUGCACCAAGCAUUUGAGUGAGUAGUAAACUUCAUGGAAAAUUUAAGGAGACAAUGCUGACCACACAGGCCUCUGCCAUCCAGCUGCCUCUUCCCUGCACACACAAACACCUCUUCCCAUUCUCACCCUGCCUCUCGGGUGGCUCCGGAAACCCGAAUUCUUCCUCUGCCCUGAAGAGUCAUUCAGCUCCCCCACAAGCUUCUCAUUCAUGAUGUCCACACUGAAGCAUAUCAAGAAUAUAGACUUUGCUGGAACCCACUGGGUGAUUUUUCUUAUGUACGCAUGCAUUGUAAAAAGAAAAAAAAGAAGUUUUAAAGAGCACACAGACAAAAAAUUAUAAAUUGUCCGCAACUCCCAUUACCCAGAGAAGAAGGGCUUUGGGCCAGUUGAUGGCAAACACUGGUACCAGCCCUGGAGUCCAGCAUGGAGGAGGAGGCCACAGCAGGGGCAUUCUGUGAACUCCAGCCUGCCCAGUCACUCCAGCGGAGCUUGCUAAGAGGUUGAAUAUUGGAAAAUUCUGCAACAUUGGAAAGAUGUGUUGAAGAUGGGAAAAGGAGCCCAAGUCUCUGAAUCACCACUUGAAGAAGAGCUGCCCACCAAUUUAUAGCAAAUAUUUUGG